AUAAAACGAGGCGCAGAGAGCGGGCUGGGGCAUUUCUCCCCGAGAUGGCGGGUCUGACGGCGGCAGCCCUGCGGCCCGGAGCCCUCCUGCUCCUGCUGUGCAUUCUCCACCCCUCGCAGCCUGGAGGGGUCCCAGGGGCUGUUCCUGGUGGAGUGCCUGGAGGGGUCUUCUACCCAGGGGCUGGUCUCGGAGGCCUGGGAGUAGGAGCACUGGGCCCUGGAGGCAAACCACCCAAGCCAGGUGCUGGAGGGCUCGUAGGCGCUGGUCUUGGGGCAGGGCUCGGGGCCUUUCCUGCAGGGGCCUUCCCAGGAGCUCUGGUGCCCGGUGGCCCGGCUGGCGCUGCUGCAGCCUAUAAAGCCGCUGCCAAGGCGGUGCUGCGGGGCUUGGUGGGGUCGGCGGCAUUGGUGGCGUUGGUGGCUUAGGAGUGCCUGCAGGUGCGGUGGUACCUCAGCUCGGAGCAGGAGUUGGAGGGAAGCCCGGGAAGGUGCCAGGUGUGGGGCUCCCAGGUGUAUUCCCAGGCGGAGUGCUCCCCGGCGCAGGAGCUCGGUUCCCGGGUGUAGGGGUGCUCCCUGGGGUUCCCACUGGAGCAGGAGUCAAGGCCAAGGCCCCAGGUGGAGGCGGAGCUUUUGCUGGAAUCCCAGGAGUUGGACCCUUUGGAGGUCAGCAGCCUGGAGUCCCUCUGGGGUACCCCAUCAAGGCACCCAAGCUGCCAAGUGGCUACGGACUGCCCUACAGCACUGGGAAACUGCCCUAUGGCUAUGGGCCUGGAGGAGUAGCUGGUGCCGCGGGCAAGGCCGGGUACCCGACAGGGACAGGGGUUGGCACACAGGCUGCAGCAGCAGCAGCAGCAGCUAAAGCAGCAGCAAAAACUUGGUGCUGAGGAGCCGGCGUUUCUCCCUGGCAUUGGUGUUGGAGGUGCUGGCAUUCCUGGCGGGCCCGGCGUGAUUCCUGGCAUCGGGAGGCAUCGCAGGGGCCGGGGCUCCAGAUGCUGCUGCUGCCGCUGCCGCUAAGGCAGCCAAAUAUGGCGCUGCUGCAGGCUUAGUGCCUGGUGCGCCAGGCUUUGGCCCAGGAGUAGUCGGCAUCCCAGGAGUUGGAGUCCCAGGAGUUGGAGUCCCCAGGAGUUGGAGUCCCAGGAGUUGGAGUCCCAGGUGUUGGGUCCAGGAGUUGGAGUCCCAGGUGUUUGGGGGUCCCAGGAGUUGGAGUCCCAGGUGUUGGAGUCCCAGGAGUUGGAGUCCCAGGUGUUGGAGUCCCUGGUGUUGGAGUCCCAGGUGUUGGUGUCCCAGGUGUUGGAAUCCCAGGGGCUGUGUCACCAGCUGCAAGCUGCUAAGCAGCAGCCAAAGCACAAAUUUCGGGGCCAGAGGCGGAGUGGGAGUUGGAGGUAUUCCCACUUUCGGCGUCGGUGCUGGGGGCUUUCCUGGCUUCGGUGUCGGAGUCGGAGGUGUUCCUGGAGUUGGCCUUUCCCCAGCAGCCCAGGCAGCCGCCGCCCAGGCAGCCGCCGCCAAGGCAGCCAAGAUCGGUGCUGCAGGAGCAGGAGCCCUGGGAGGGCUGGUGCCAGGUGCCGGAGGAGAAAUACCAGGUGUGCCAGGCGCUGUAGGGGUACCAGGGGCAGGGAUCCAGGCAGCUGCAGCCGCCAAAGCAGCCGCCAAAGCUGCCCAGUUUGGGUUAGGCCCAGGUGUCGGUCUGGGCCCCGGUGUCGGUCUGGGGUCCCGGUGUUGGUCUGGGUCCCGGUGUCGGUUGGGUCCGGAGUCGGCGUGGGUCCCGGUUGUUGGCAUUGGCCCCGGUGGCAUCAUAGGAGUAGGGGCCCCAGCUGCAGCCAAAGCCGCUGCUAAGGCGGCCGCCAAAGCCCAGUUCCGGCUGCCGCUGGGCUCCUGCCGGCAUUCCCGGAUUUGGACCCGGUGUGGAGUUCCUGGACUUGGAGUUGGUGUUGGUGUUCCUGGAUUUGGGCAGGUGCAGUACCUGGAGCCCUGGCCGCAGCUAAAGCUGCCAAGUACGGAGCAGGAGUGCCUGGGGCCCUUGGAGACGUUGGAGGUCUUGGCGGAGUCGGUGUCCCAGGUGGUGUGGUAGGAGCCGGACCUGAUGCUGUGGCUGCUGCCGCCAAAGCUGCCGCCAAAGCCGCCCAGUUUGGGCUGGGGGGACCUGGUGGGCUCGGAGUCGGUGGGCUCGGAGUCGGAGGGCUUGGAGUUGUCCCAGGGGCUGUGGGCCUUGGAGGUGUGUCCCCAGCUGCAGCUGCUAAAGCAGCCAAAUAUGGUGCCGCUGGCCUUGGAGGUUUCCUAGGCGCCGCCAGGCCGUUCCCACUUGGAGGUGUCGCAGCAAGGCCUGGCUUCGGACUGUCUCCUAUUUUCCCAGGUGGUGGAGCCGGGGGCCUGGGAGUCGGUGGCAAACCUCCCAAGCUCUAUGGAGGGGCUCUGGGAGCCCUGGGAUACCAAGCUGGGGCCUGCCUGGGGAAAGCCUGUGGCCGGAAGAGAAAGUGAGCUUCCCAGGACCCCUGACUCACGACCUCAUCAACGUUGGUGCUACUGCUUGGUGGAGAAUGUAAACCCUUUGUGACCCCCCCCCCAUCCCAUGCCCCCUCCUAAGUUCCCACCCCAGGAGGGAACAGGGCAGGCAGGGUGGCCUUGGAAAUCCACAGGGCAAGGAAACAAGAGAGUGGUGGCCAAGUGGGCCCCUGGAAGCCCCCUGCUUCAGAGGCAAGGGGUGGGUGGGCUUGGCCCCUGCCCCCACCCCCUUCCCACCCAGGAGCUCCCCCUCCACACACUCCAUCUCCAAGGGAACUUGGUGCUACGUACUGGUGCUCUCAUUCUUCCUGCGGGGAGGGAGGAGGGAAGGGCAGCCCCUUGGGAACCCCUUCCCUGGGGCUCCUCUGAAGAUGGUGCAGACACUUCCUGGGCAGUCUCACCUCCCCCUGCCCACCAGGACCCACCUCUGGCUGCGGUCCAGUUGGUACCCAAGCAUCGAAACCCUCAAGCUGGAUUCGGUCACACGAUCUCUUGGCCCCCUUGGCCCACUCUCCCCUACCAGUCGCUAUUCCCCAUGUCUGGGGCACCUUCAGGUCGGAAGAUUCCCCCCAUUGGGAAUAGCCCUCUUGCUCUUGUGGAAUUCAUCCGCCCAUCUGCCCAUCCGUCCAUCCGUCCUGGCCCCCAUUUGGCUGCCCGGCACCGCUAGCUGGCUGGGCGCCCCUACCAUCAACUCGAUUAACCUGUCAUGGCAGCCUGUGCCCUGCCUCUGCCCCAUCACACACACCCCUACGUAGGAGCCCUGAGCCCAGGUUGUGAGGGGCUGUGCCGACUGGGGCAGCAGGAAUCUCCCCCCAAAACUGGGUCUCCCCCCACGCAGUACUGUAUCCCCGGUCCCCCCCCUGGAGCCACUGUACUUCAGAGCAUUUCCCCCCCUGCCCCGCCCAUCUCUUUGUGUCUCGCUGUGAUAGAUCAAUAAAUAUUUUAUUUUUUGUCCU
ensembl:lncRNA